rnacentral:rRNA from 1 species
UACGGGGGGGGCAAGCGUUGUUCGGAAUUACUGGGCGUAAAGGGCGCGUAGGCGGGUAAGCAAGUCUCUCGUGAAAGCCCACGGCUCAACCGUGGAAUGGCGGGAGAUACUGCUUGUCUUGAGUCCGGGAGAGGAGAGUGGAAUUCCCAGUGUAGCGGUGAAAUGCGUAGAUAUUGGGAGGAACACCGGUGGCGAAGGCGGCUCUCUGGACCGGUACUGACGCUGAGGCGCGAAAGCUAGGGGAGCAAACGGG